rnacentral:rRNA from 1 species
AACGAACGCUGGCGGCAGGCUUAACACAUGCAAGUCGAGCGCGUAGCAAUACGAGCGGCAGACGGGUGAGUAACGCGUGGGAAUCUACCCAACCCUACGGAAUAACGCAUGGAAACGUGUGCUAAUACCGUAUACGCCCUUAGGGGGAAAGAUUUAUCGGGGAUGGAUGAGCCCGCGUUGGAUUAGCUAGUUGGUGGGGUAAAGGCCUACCAAGGCGACGAUCCAUAGCUGGUCUGAGAGGAUGAUCAGCCACAUUGGGACUGAGACACGGCCCAAACUCCUACGGGAGGCAGCAGUGGGGAAUAUUGGACAAUGGGCGCAAGCCUGAUCCAGCCAUGCCGCGUGAGUGAUGAAGGCCCUAGGGUUGUAAAGCUCGUUUCACCGGUGAAGAUAAUGACGGUAACCGGAGAAGAAGCCCCGGCUAACUUCGUGCCAGCAGCCGCGGUAAUGUCAGUGACU